UACGAAGGGUGCAAGCGUUAUUCGGAAUGAUUGGGCGUAAAGGGUGUGUAGGCGGCAUGUUAAGUCAAUUGUCAAAUCUCUCAGCUUAACUGAGAAUCGGCGGUUGAAACUGGCAAGCUAGAGGGUGGUAGAGAGAAGCGGAAUUCUCGGAGUAGCGGUAAAAUGCGUAGAUCUCGAGAGGAACACCGAUGGCGAAGGCAGCUUCUUGGCCCAUACCUGACGCUGAGGCACGAAAGCGUGGGGAGCAAACAGG
rnacentral:rRNA from 1 species